ensembl:lncRNA
UCCAACAAUUACUUUUACUUGACUAGUAAAGGGGAAAAGUCAAGGUACAAUUUUUGAGGAAAGCUCACCAGUCAUAUUUGGCACGUGUAAUCACGGUUUAGACUCUCUGAUAUCUUUCUUAAACGCUGUUUCACCAGCAACAGCUUUGGGCUAUCCUGUAUUUUAAGCAUUUAUUUAGAGAGGAACCGCACACAAGGUAAUGAAGGGCAUCGAUCCAGGUUGCUUUAUUAACGGAACGGGCUUCUGAAGCGCUAAUAGGACGCCACUUAUUCUGUGGAGGUUUAAUUAGCCUCGCGCGGAAAAUGUGCUUACUGCGCGCGCUGCCACUCGGCCGUCACCUCGCACCCUGCGCACACGCUCAUUUCACGGGCCGCUGGGACCGAGAUCAAGACAGCGAGGCCCUUCUUCAUUCAGCUAUAGCGUUCAUUAAAGAGACCAGACAUUGAUUUUUAAAAAUGACAUGAAGAUCUUUCAUUGACCUACUGUGAACUCUGAGGUGGUUACAUGAUGUUUCUGUAUGACCCACAGGGUCAUGGAUGGGAAAGUAAACAGACGAGGGGAUAUUUAAAGCACCAGUGGGGAAGGACACCAUUCCAGCUCCAUUCAAUGCAAAUUCACUUCUCUCUGUCAAUUAGUCACUAUUGUCACCUUAAUUAACCAGAAGAACUGAGAAAACAUGGAGUGAACUUUGACAUUUUGGCUUUUGUAGUGAGACGUUUACAAUUUAUUUUCAUAAUGAAACGUUACCUAAUGCACUCCUUUGUGUAAUUAGUGACAACAUAACGAGAAUUAGCAAAACCUUAUUAAUGUGACUGUAAAAGAUUAGUAUAUUCA